rnacentral:tRNA from 1 species
GACGUAGUUCAGUUGGUUAGAGCGUCAGAUUGUGGUUCUGAAUGUCGUGGGUUCGAGCCCCACCGC